rnacentral:siRNA from 1 species
UCUGCGUGCUUUUAGCUAAAACA